rnacentral:rRNA from 1 species
ACGCUGGCGGCGUGCCUAAUACAUGCAAGUCGAACGCACAGCGAAAGGUGCUUGCACCUUUCAAGUGAGUGGCGAACGGGUGAGUAACACGUGGACAACCUGCCUCAAGGCUGGGGAUAACAUUUGGAAACAGAUGCUAAUACCGAAUAAAACUUAGUGUCGCAUGACACAAAGUUAAAAGGCGCUUCGGCGUCACCUAGAGAUGGAUCCGCGGUGCAUUAGUUAGUUGGUGGGGUAAGGGCCUACCAAGACAAUGAUGCAUAGCCGAGUUGAGAGACUGAUCGGCCACAUUGGGACUGAGACACGGCCCAAACUCCUACGGGAGGCUGCAGUAGGGAAUCUUCCACAAUGGGCGAAAGCCUGAUGGAGCAACGCCGCGUGUGUGAUGAAGGCUUUCGGGUCGUAAAGCACUGUUGUAUGGGAAGAACAGCUAGAAUAGGAAAUGAUUUUAGUUUGACGGUACCAUACCAGAAAGGGACGGCUAAAUACGUGCCAGCAGCCGCGGUAAUACGUAUGUCCCGAGCGUUAUCCGGAUUUAUUGGGCGUAAAGCGAGCGCAGACGGUUUAUUAAGUCUGAUGUGAAAGCCCGGAGCUCAACUCCGGAAUGGCAUUGGAAACUGGUUAACUUGAGUGCAGUAGAGGUAAGUGGAACUCCAUGUGUAGCGGUGGAAUGCGUAGAUAUAUGGAAGAACACCAGUGGCGAAGGCGGCUUACUGGACUGCAACUGACGUUGAGGCUCGAAAGUGUGGGUAGCAAAC